GACGAACCGUGCGAACGUUAUUCGGAAUCACUGGGCUUAGAGGGCGCGUAGGCGGGCGGCCCAGUCAGGGGUGAAAGCCCCCAGCUCAACUGGGGAAGUGCCUUUGAUACUGGUUGUCUCGAGGGAGGUAGGGGCGUGCGGAACUUCCGGUGGAGCGGUGAAAUGCGUAGAUAUCGGAAGGAACGCCGGUGGCGAAAGCGGCGCGCUGGACCUCUUCUGACGCUGAGGCGCGAAAGCUAGGGGAGCAAACGGG
rnacentral:rRNA from 1 species